GUGUAUUGCGCAGGCCUACCAUGCAGUCCGAGCGGAUGAAGAAGGAAGCUUGGCUUUUCCGAUUCAGCGGCGGACGGGUGAAGUAAUGCCUAGGAAUCUGCCUAGUAGUGGGGGACAACGUUUCGAAAGGAACGCUAAUACCGCAUACGUCCUACGGGAGAAAGUGGGGGAUCUUCGGACCUCACGCUAUUAGAUGAGCCUAGGUCGGAUUAGCUAGUUGGUAGGGUAAAGGCCUACCAAGGCGACGAUCCGUAACUGGUCUGAGAGGAUGAUCAGUCACACUGGAACUGAGACACGGUCCAGACUCCUACGGGAGGCAGCAGUGGGGAAUAUUGGACAAUGGGCGAAAGCCUGAUCCAGCCAUGCCGCGUGUGUGAAGAAGGCCUUCGGGUCGUAAAGCACUUUAAGUUGGGAGGAAGGGCUCAUAGCGAAUACCUGUGAGUUUUGACGUUACCAACAGAAUAAGCACCGGCUAACUUCGUGCCAGCAGCCGCGGUAAUACGAAGGGUGCAAGCGUUAAUCGGAAUUACUGGGCGUAAAGCGCGCGUAGGUGGCUUGAUAAGUUGGAUGUGAAAUCCCCGGGCUCAACCUGGGAACUGCAUCCAAAACUGUCUGGCUAGAGUGCGGUAGAGGGUAGUGGAAUUUCCAGUGUAGCGGUGAAAUGCGUAGAUAUUGGAAGGAACACCAGUGGCGAAGGCGA
rnacentral:rRNA from 1 species